rnacentral:rRNA from 1 species
GACGAACGCUGGCGGCGUGCCUAAUACAUGCAAGUAGAACGCUGAAGGGGGAUCUUGCUUCGCCGGAUGAGUUGCGAACGGGUGAGUCACGCGUAGGUACCCUGCCUUGUAGCGGGGGAUAACUAUUGGAAACGUUAUCUAAUACCCCAUAUGAGUAUAUGUUCCAUGACAUUUGCUUAAAAGGUGCAAUUGCAUCACUACCAGAUGGACCUGCGUUGUGUUAGCUAGUUGGUGGGGGAACCGCCCACCAAAGCGACGAUACAUAGCCGACCUGAGAGGGUGAUCGGACACAAUGGGACUGGGGAACGGGCCCGACUUCCUCGGGAGGCAGCAGGAGGGGAACUUCGGCAAUUGACGGAAAGCCGGACCAGCAACGCCGGGGGAGUGAAGAAGGUUCUCCGAUCGGAAAGCUGUGUUGGAAGGGAAGAAAGAGUGUGAGAGUGAAAAGUUCACACUGUGACGGUAUCUUACGAGAAAGCGACGGCUAACUACGUG